UACAGAGGUCCCAAGCGUUGUUCGGAUUCACUGGGUUUAAAGGGUGCGUAGGAGGACUGGUAAGUCAGUGGUGAAAUCCCCGAGCUUAACUUGGGAACUGCCGUUGAUACUAUCAGUCUUGAAUACCGUGGAGGUGAGCGGAAUAUGUCAUGUAGCGGUGAAAUGCUUAGAUAUGACAUAGAACACCAAUUGCGAAGGCAGCUCGCUACACGAAUAUUGACUCUGAGGCACGAAAGCGUGGGGAUCAAACAGG
rnacentral:rRNA from 1 species